CCUGGCGGCAGUAGCGCGGUGGUCCCACCUGACCCCAUACCGAACUCAGAAGUGAAACGCCGUAGCGCCGAUGGUAGUGUGGGGUCUCCCCAUGCGAGAGUAGGGAACUGCCAGGC
rnacentral:rRNA from 1 species